CCAGUUUGGGAUGUCUCACAAGCAACGGGAAAAGAUAUUCUUUCCUUAAAACUGUAAUGGAACAUUACUGAUCAUUGCCUCAGAUAGAGAAACUGCUUUUGAUGAUGUAGUAAAGAAUACAGAUAUCCAGAUAAAGGUGGCUAUCAGGA